CACCUCAGAGUUGCUGGGAAGAGGGAAGCGCACUGCCAUUCUGGACUCGAAGCUGAGGCAUCAAACAGUGAGUAUAUAUUGCCAUGGUCUAUAUGCAUGAUUCCUCUUGGCUGUGAGGGGAGAUUAUCUGUUACCACAUUUCAGGCUUAGCAGAUACUGAGGAUGACACAGGCUUUUCAUUUAUUAACUUAUGUUCUGGACACGGCUUUUGUGAUCUCAAUCUAAUGCUGGGGUUUCUUCUUCCAGUUAUUAUUUAUGGUCUCUUUUAUUUCUCCUACUCCUAGUUUGUCUUUUUCUUUCUUCAUCAUUUGAUUACUAUUUUAUGUCCAUGAAUUUUUGACCAGCAUAAUAAUUUAGCAGUUAAAAUUUGUAAAAAA